rnacentral:rRNA from 1 species
UACGUAGGGGGCAAGCGUUGUCCGGAUUUAUUGGGCGUAAAGAGCGUGUAGGCGGCUUCACAGGUCCGCUGUGAAAACUCGAGGCUCAACCUCGAGCUGUCGGUGGAAACCGUGUGGCUAGAGUCCGGAAGAGGAGAGUGGAAUUCCCGGUGUAGCGGUGAAAUGCGUAGAGAUCGGGAAGAACAUCGGUGGCGAAAGCGCUCUACUGGACGGUAUCUGACACUGAGGGACGAAAGCUAGGGGAGCGAAUGGG